rnacentral:rRNA from 1 species
AGAGUUUGAUCAUGGCUCAGGAUGAACGCUGGCGGCGUGCCUAACACAUGCAAGUCGAGCGAUCUUCUUCGGAAGAGAGCGGCGGACGGGUGAGUAACGCGUGGGUAACCUGCCCAUACACAUGGAUAACAUACCGAAAGGUAUGCUAAUACAAGAUGAUAUAAGAGAUUCGCAUGGAUUUCUUAUCAAAGCUCCGGCGGUAUGAGAUGGACCCGCGUCUGAUUAGCUAGUUGGUAAGGUAACGGCUUACCAAGGCGACGAUCAGUAGCCGACCUGAGAGGGUGAUCGGCCACAUUGGAACUGAGACACGGUCCAAACUCCUACGGGAGGCAGCAGUGGGGAAUAUUGCACAAUGGGCGAAAGCCUGAUGCAGCAACGCCGCGUGAGCGAUGAAGGCCUUCGGGUCGUAAAGCUCUGUCCUCAAGGAAGAUAAUGACGGUACUUGAGGAGGAAGCCCCGGCUAACUACGUGCCAGCAGCCGCGGUAAUACGUAGGGGGCUAGCGUUAUCCGGAUUUACUGGGCGUAAAGGGUGCGUAGGUGGUUUCUUAAGUCAGGAGUGAAAGGCUACGGCUCAACCGUGGUAAGCUCUUGAAACUGGGAAACUUGAGUGCAGGAGAGGAAAGUGGAAUUCCUAGUGUAGCGGUGAAAUGCGUAGAUAUUAGGAGGAACACCAGUAGCGAAGGCGGCUUUCUGGACUGUAACUGACACUGAGGCACGAAAGCGUGGGGAGCAAACAGGAUUAGGUACCCUGGUAGUCCACGCCGUAAACGAUGAGUACUAGGUGUCGGGGGUUACCCCCCUCGGUGCCGCAGCUAACGCAUUAAGUACUCCGCCUGGGGAAUACGCUCGCAAGAGUGAAACUCAAAGGAAUUGACGG